UAAGUACCACCAGCAAAUUUUUGACAUAUAAAGUAAUUAUAAUAAAUCUGUUAACGUGUACCACUAACAGGUUGUCGGAAUACCACUGGUGGUAUCCAUACUACUGAUUGGGAAUCGCAGCUGUAGAUCAUAAGUCUGUC